rnacentral:tRNA from 1 species
GGGGCUGUAGCUCAGUUGGGAGAGCGUCGGAAUCGCACUCCGAAGGUCGAGGGUUCGACUCCCUUCAGCUCCA